rnacentral:rRNA from 1 species
UACGGAGGAUGCGGAGCGUUAUCCGGAUUUAUUGGGUUUAAAGGGUGCGUAAGGCGGUCUGUUAAGUCAGCGGUAAAAGCCCGGGGCUCAACCCCGGCGAGCCGUUGAAACUGGCUGUCUUGAGAUGUCGGAGAGGUAUGCGGAAUGCGCAGGUGUAGCGGUGAAAUGCUUAGAUAUUGCGCAGAACUCCGAUUGCGAAGGCAGCAUACCGGCGGCGAUCUGACGUGAGG